rnacentral:tRNA from 1 species
ACUAACCUGACAGAUAAAUGUGAUAGACUUAGAAUCUAUUUAUGAGAAGGUUUCUCGGUUAGUA